GGGAAGGGGUGACUAGUGGCAGAGUGAGGGAAGGAAGGGGUGACUAGUGACAGAGUGAGGGAGGUGGUGACUGUCACUAGUCACCACCUCCCUCACUGUCACUACUCCCUCCCUCCUUCUGUCACAUGUCAUCCCCUCCCUCACUCUGUCACCAGUCAUCCCCUUCCCUCACUCUGUCACCCCCUCACUCUAGUGACAGAGAGAGGGAGGGGGUGACUAGUGACAGUCACCACCUCCUUCACUCUGUCACUAGUCACCCCCUCCCUCUCUCUGUCACUAGUCACCCCCUCUCUC